rnacentral:rRNA from 1 species
GGCCCUUCGGGGUACUCGAGCGGCGAACGGGUGAGUAACACGUGAGCAACCUGCCUUCAGCUCUGGGAUAAGCCUGGGAAACUGGGUCUAAUACCGGAUAGGACUCCUGCCUGCAUGGGUGGGGGUGGAAAGAUUUAUUGGCUGAAGAUGGGCUCGCGGCCUAUCAGCUUGUUGGUGGGGUGAUGGCCUACCAAGGCUUUUACGGGUAGCCGGCCUGAGAGGGCGACCGGCCACACUGGGACUGAGACACGGCCCAGACUCCUACGGGAGGCAGCAGUGGGGAAUAUUGCACAAUGGGCGGAAGCCUGAUGCAGCAACGCCGCGUGAGGGAUGACGGCCUUCGGGUUGUAAACCUCUUUCAGCGGGGACGAAGCGCAAGUGACGGUACCCGCAGAAGAAGCGCCGGCCAACUACGUGCCAGCAGCCGCGGUAACACGUAGGGCGCGAGCGUUGUCCGGAAUUAUUGGGCGUAAAGGGCUCGUAGGCGGUUUGUUGCGUCGAAAGUGAAAAUCCGGGGCUUAACUCCGGACUUGCUUUCGAUACGGGCAGACUAGAGGUAGGCAGGGGAGAGUGGAAUUCCUGGUGUAGCGGUGGAAUGCGC